AGGCAAAGGGCUGGGGGUUGAGGGCAACAAGAACUGGAGCUGGUGGGAGAGAGGGGUUCUGCAGAGGCGGGGAGGGGUGAGAACCACACCCACACCGGGCACACAGGACUUCUGCAUAUUUGUGCCCGGCUCGGCUGACCACUAGAGGCAGCCUGGCUGGGCAGCGUCCAUCCGGAGUCAGAGGUCUGGGCUGCGAUCCACAGCCACCAUGUGUGCCGGCCUUGGGCGUGCAGCAGGCUCCACCCAGCCUGUUUCUUCGCACACGCAGUAGAGAAACUGUGCGGACUCCCACCCAGGAGUUGAUUCAACAACAGACCAGGAUCAGAGGCUGCAGGUACCAAAACCAAGGAGCGCUUUCCUUUGGGGUUGUGAUGUAAUGGAUUUCUUGCUCCUGGUCCCAGUCACAAAGCCUCGAAAAGCCGCGCCUGAGAUCACGAACCCUGGCCCUUUUUUUUGCCAGCAGGAGCGGGAAUUGGCUGCAGCUCCCCUCCGAAGCUCCUUGCCUACACACCUGGCCACCUGCUCAGGGGCCCCAUCCCAGCAGCUGCACACACUCAUGCCUCUGUGUCCUUCAAACCCUCCCUUCUCUCACCGUCUCUCUUCGUCCAAACCUGCCUGGAUCCAGGGCCGCCUGUGUAAAUGUUGCACUGUCCCCCAGAGGUGCCAGGCAAGAUGGCCCUUUCUUUACAAGCACUUUCCCCCUAAACCAACUAGUUCCUAUCAAGUUGGCGCUCUAAUUUGUGGAUGAAUUAAGCAGGCAGGUGAAUGCACAAUGGAUCAGAAGCUGAAGUGCUCUGGGCUGGGAGAUGGGUGCAGAGGCUUGCUGUGUUAAUAGCCAGUAACAGCCAAGCACCUACUGUGUGCCUGUACCUCACAGCUCCUGGGGACACGAGGCCACCAGGAACCCCAACACGGAGAUCCACUGGGCUGCCAAGGGAGCCUGAUGACCCCGUACAGCCAUCAAGGAAGGAGUCACCAGGCAAAGGGCCAGGCAGGGUGGGGUCAGGUGGGGGUCUUCUAGGCAAAAGAGUGGAGCUUACUUGGCACCGAGUAAGUCCUUUGUAGCACAUGCCACUUGUCUUACCGUUACACUUUGGUAUUUAACUCCCCCUAGACUAAACUCCAGGACAGGGCGAGGACCAGAUGGUGCCUUCUGGGCUGAGCAUGACAGUUCUGGCAGCAGCCUAACUCAUUAAACAUUAACCAGUGGAAUAUUCAGGAACCUGCAGGUGGCUCAGACUGGCCCCAGGUAGAGAGUGUAAGGAGGAAGCUGCAGUGGAGCGCUGGGAAGAGCCAGGCUUUCUCCAUCUGGCACUGGGGAAUAUGGGGGGGGGGGGUGCGGUCCUUAAACAGGAAAGACACAGGUAGUCAGUCAUGGUUUAGAAUAUUCCUCAUACUCUGGGGUCCGCAGCAGGGGCUGCACCAGGCAGGCAGCGAGAAACAGGGCCGCAGUUACCCAGGCGAGGAGGCUUGAGUCUAGAGGCAGUGGAGUGGUGCGCUCUGAGAAGGCAUUUGGGAACCCCAGGUGUGUGCCACCGAGGCAGAGCAGGCUUCUGGGCUGCAGGCUUCCAGGCUGCGGGCUCCAGAUGGGAAGAAGACGCCCAGUUAACCCACCCCACAAGGGCACAGGGUGGUCCUGGGAGGCGUGUGCCAGCCCAUCACUGGUACUAGCACAUUCAGAGUUUAACCCUUCUGCCCUCACACUUGUAUUUUCUUUGCCUUUUUAAUCAACUCAUGUGUUAACACAUUUAUAUACUUUAAAAGUGAACAUUAGAUAGAGCACAGGGGUAGAGUGCUUGCAAAGCAUCACGAGAGGCCCUGGGCUCAAUCCCCAGUGCUAUAGAUAAAUAAAGUGAUUAUUAGGG
rnacentral:lncRNA from 1 species